rnacentral:rRNA from 1 species
AGAGUUUGAUCAUGGCUCAGAUUGAACGCUGGCGGUAUGCUUAACACAUGCAAGUCGAACGGUAACAGGAUUAGCUUGCUAAUCGCUGACGAGUGGCGGACGGGUGAGUAACGCGUAGGGAUCUGCCUGACAAUGGGGGAUAGCCCGGUGAAAACCGGAUUAAUACCGCAUACGUCCUAAGGGAGAAAGGGUGCCACUUCUUGAAAGCACUCGUUGUCAGAUGAACCUGCGUUGGAUUAGCUAGUUGGUAGGGUAAUGGCCUACCAAGGCGACGAUCCAUAGCUGGUCUGAGAGGAUGAUCAGCCACACUGGGACUGAGACACGGCCCAGACUCCUACGGGAGGCAGCAGUGGGGAAUAUUGCGCAAUGGGCGAAAGCCUGACGCAGCAAUACCGCGUGUGUGAAGAAGGCCUGCGGGUUGUAAAGCACUUUCAGUAGGGAGGAAA